GACGAACGCUGGCGGCGUGCUUAACACAUGCAAGUCGAACGGAAAGGCCCUGCUUUUGUGGGGUGCUCGAGUGGCGAACGGGUGUGUAACACGUGAGUAACCUGCCCUUGUCUUUGGGAUAACUUCAGGAAACUGGGGCUAAUACCGGAUAGGAGCUCCUGCUGCAUGGUGGGGGUUGGAAAGUUUCGGCGGUUGGGGCUGGACUCGCGGCUUAUCAGCUUGUUGGUGGGGUAGUGGCUUACCAAGGCUUUGACGGGUAGCCGGCCUGGGAGGGUGGCCGGCCACAUUGGGACUGAGAGACGGCCCAGACUCGUACGGGAGGCAGCGGUGGGGAAUAUUACACAAUGGGCGGAAGCCUGAUGCAGCAACGCCGGGUGCGGGAUGACGGCCUUCUGGUUGUAAACCGCUUUCGCCUGUGACGAAGCGUGAGUGACGGUAAUGGGUAAAGAAGCACCGGCUAACUACGUG
rnacentral:rRNA from 1 species